UCUACAGCCAUGCCACCCUGAACAAGCCUGAUCUGACCUUAUCUCAGAAGCUAAGCAGGGUUGGGCCUAGUUAAUACUUUGAUGGGAGACCACCUAGGAAGACCAGGUGCAUUUAGGC
rnacentral:rRNA from 1 species